GGUCUAUAAAUCCUUAAACUGCAAAUUUAAGUAAGCAAUUAUUGCAAAAACCU
rnacentral:tRNA from 1 species